rnacentral:rRNA from 1 species
UACGAAGGGGGCUAGCGUUGCUCGGAAUUACUGGGCGUAAAGCGCACGUAGGCGGUCUUUUAAGUCGGGGGUGAAAUCCUGGAGCUCAACUCCAGAACUGCCUUCGAUACUGGAAGACUUGAGUCCGGGAGAGGUGAGUGGAACUGCGAGUGUAGAGGUGAAAUUCGUAGAUAUUGGGAAGAACACCGGUGGCGAAGGCGGCUCACUGGCUCGUAACUGACGCUCAGGCGCGACAGCGUGGGGAUCAAACAGG